CAGUAGCCGCGGUAAUACAGAGGGUGCCAGCGUUAAUCGGAUUUACUGGGCGUAAAGCGUGCGUAGGCGGCUUCUUAAGUCGGAUGUGAAAUCCCUGAGCUUAACUUAGGAAUUGCAUUCGAUACUGGGAAGCUAGAGUAUGGGAGAGGAUGGUAGAAUUCCAGGUGUAGCGGUGAAAUGCGUAGAGAUCUGGAGGAAUACCGAUGGCGAAGGCAGCCAUCUGGCCUAAUACUGACGCUGAGGUACGAAAGCAUGGGGAGCAAACAGGAUUAGAUACCCCUGUAGUCCCUGUCUCUUAUAC
rnacentral:rRNA from 1 species